rnacentral:lncRNA from 1 species
GGGUUUCUGGUUAAUGAAUGGCGCGUGUCCGGAAUCGGCAAAGGCAAAACCUUGCGGUAGAGUCGUAGACAAGGAGGGCAUAGAAAAUGGGAAGCAGAGAAUGGAAGUGGACACCGGAGAGAAAGGAGAACACUCAGCGGAGGCGGGAGAGUUUUGAGUUGAAAAAAAACAAAAGGCCGGCUAUUCCGGCACCGAGCGCCCCCACCACAUUCUUUUUAAAAAAAAAAAAAAAUUAAAAAAAAAAAAGACAAAUCGAGUUAGUUUAAUUUUCUAUCGCCUUCGGAUCGGAUUCGGGUUUACACAAUCCGAAUCUGGC